GGCCUUGCUCUGUCAGGCGUGGAGUGGGUCGUGACUGAGGCUAAUGAUUAUUAUGCUUUGCUUCGCCAGAGUGCAGAUAAGACGAAAGAUAAAGAGUGGCACGGUCUAAUUCUUUGGGGAGGAGUAUUUGUGUUUUCUCUCAUAAUUAUGCCCCAGGUGUUGCCGGUUCUAAAAGGUUCUGACGGUCACUUUCUGUAAGGGUUCAGACGAUGAUGGUUAUCACUGCGUUAAGUAAUGUGAACUUGAAUUCAGUGGAUUUAUUAUAUUAUACUUAGAAAAAAAUUCCAAGGACUUCAUUUUACUUCCUAAAAUGUGAUUUUAUAUUUUAGAGGUCCUACAUAAACACACAGCUGAAAACACAAUUGCCAGGGCCUUUUCAGACAACCAGGGAAGUCCCUUACUUUUUAUUUUUAUUUUUGUUGCGUAACUUCUCUGUAAUGUAAUCUUAGAUCACUGAUUAUGCACAAGAGUAUUUUCAGACAGUUUGAGCAAUAACUUUGCAUCACAUAUCUUCUAAACUAAUAAUUUUUAGGUUAAUUGGCGUGGCUGUAGUUUAGGAGGUACAGCAGGUCACCUACUAAUUGGUCCGAUCCCUGGCUGCUCCGGUCUGCAUGCCAGAUUAUCCUUGGGCAAGAUCCUGAACCCGAAGUUGCUCUCGAAAAGUGAGGAAAAGCACUUAAGUGUAGAAAAAAAAGUGCUUGUAUGAAGCACUAUAUAAGUAGCAGUCCAUCCACCAGUUAACUCACUAGUAAUUACUUUAAUGUUAAUAUUUCCAUCUGACGUUUUAACAAUUAUGUCAACAGUAAAAUUCUGAUAUGUGUACUUGCUGAUUCUUUACACAAAGCUCAGAGAAAUUGUGAAGCUGGAGGAAGAUAUGAUUAAGCUGUGCUUAGAAAUAAUCCAAAAAAAAAGAGCUUGUGAAAGCUGCCUCUGUGGGGAAUUAAUGCAUUGAUAUUUCUACAUAGUUGGUGUCCUCAUGGCUUUUCCUUUUCAAACCAGAGCUGCUGUGGGCCCUUCUCUUAUCUACUGCCAGUGCCUCAGGGCCGCCUGUAGGAGGGAGGGACACCGACAGCAGUCUGACUGGACAGGGAAGAUAAAGCACCUAAACUCCAGCACCCAGAAUCAGUUCUGCAGCCAAAUGUAACAGAAAAAGAUCACAGGCGAACUCUAAGAUGAAGGCUGAAAGCAUCCUUGGGCCACACAGUUGGAGAGCUGAGUAGACUCACUGGAUUGAUACCAAGCUGAGAAAGCCCAGGAGCAAGACCAAAAAUCUGGCAAAGGAUGUCAGGGACAAAAAUUUAGUCCUGCAUUAGGCUGAAAUGAGCCACAUGACCAUCAGCAAGAAGCUUGGUGAGUAGAUAACAACUGUUGAUGUGACUAUUCAGAAAUGGAAGAAAUAUAAAAUGAGCAUCGAUCUGGAGCUCCAUGCAAGAUCUUGCCUCAAGGGGUGAGGAUGAUCAUGAUAAAGGUUGUGGAUCAGCCAAAAACUACACGCGAGGAGAUUGUUAAUGAUCGGAAGCAAGUCGGGACCACAGUCAGAACACCAUUGUCAACACACUACACUAUAAUGGAUUGAAAUCUUUCACCCGCAAGAGAAGUCUUGGGAGAAAGAGCUGUGGUCAAAUGAAACAAAAUCAAGCUCUUUGGCAUCAAGUCAACCAGCCAUGUUUGUAGGAAGAGAAGUGAGUAUGACCCAAAGAACACCAUCGUCACAGUCAGGCAUGGAGGUGGAAACAUUAUGCAUUGGGUUUAUUUUUCUGCUAAGGGUACAAGGCAACUUCACUGCAUUGAGGAGCAAAUGUAUAGGAGCAUGUACUAUAAAAUCCUGGACAACAACCUCCUUUCCUCAGCCGGAACACAGAAGAUAUGCUGUGGAUGUGUCUUCCAGCAUGACAAUGACCCAAAGAGAUCACCAAGGUAAUGAAGGAGUGGCUAAAGAAGAAGCAUGUUAACAUCUUUGAGUGGUCUAGCUAGUCUUUAGGCCUCAAUCCUAUAGAAAUUCUGUGGAAAGACCUGAAGUUUAAAGUUUCUAAGCAGCAGCAACGAAACCUAAAGUAUUUAGAUAGUUUAUGUAAAGACUAGUGGG